rnacentral:rRNA from 1 species
AUGAACGCUGGCGGCGUGCCUCAUCCAUGCAAGUCGAGCGAACAGACGAGGAGCUUGCUCCUCUGACGUUAGCGGCGGACGGGUGAGUAACACGUGGAUAACCUACCUAUAAGACUGGGAUAACUUCGGGAAACCGGAGCUAAUACCGGAUAAUAUAUUGAACCGCAUGGUUCAAUAGUGAAAGACGGUUUUGCUGUCACUUAUAGAUGGAUCCGCGCCGCAUUAGCUAGUUGGUAAGGUAACGGCUUACCAAGGCAACGAUGCGUAGCCGACCUGAGAGGGUGAUCGGCCACACUGGAACUGAGACACGGUCCAGACUCCUACGGGAGGCAGCAGUAGGGAAUCUUCCGCAAUGGGCGAAAGCCUGACGGAGCAACGCCGCGUGAGUGAUGAAGGUCUUCGGAUCGUAAAACUCUGUUAUUAGGGAAGAACAAAUGUGUAAGUAACUAUGCACGUCCUGACGGUACCUAAUCAGAAAGCCACGGCUAACUACGUG